rnacentral:rRNA from 1 species
CCUACGGGUGGCUGCAGUGGGGAAUAUUGCACAAUGGGCGCAAGCCUGAUGCAGCCAUGCCGCGUGUGUGAAGAAGGCCUUCGGGUUGUAAAGCACUUUCAGCGGGGAGGAAGGCGGUGAGGUUAAUAACCUCAUCGAUUGACGUUACCCGCAGAAGAAGCACCGGCUAACUCCGUGCCAGCAGCCGCGGUAAUACGGAGGGUGCAAGCGUUAAUCGGAAUUACUGGGCGUAAAGCGCACGCAGGCGGGCUGUCAAGUCGGAUGUGAAAUCCCCGGGCUCAACCUGGGAACUGCAUUCGAAACUGGCAGGCUAGAGUCUUGGAGAGGGGGGUAGAAUUCCAGGUGUAGCGGUGAAAUGCGUAGAGAUCUGGAGGAAUACCGGUGGCGAAGGCGGCCCCCUGGACAAAGACUGACGCUCAGGUGCGAAAGCGUGGGGAGCAAACAGGAUUAGAUACCCGGGUAGUC